CACUUUUGCUUGCUACCGGGAGAGGAGUGGGUGUGCUUUCCAAGCCGUGCGCCUUCAUCAACUUCCCACUCCAUUGUGAAGACAGAGGACAAGGAGCGACCCCACUUCCAGCUACCACAACACUUACAGCGUGUCUGAUGCCCUGCUUCUAGCUACCGUGACACCCCCAACGUAUCUGACGCCCCGCUUCCAUCUACCGCGACACCUGCAGCUUGUCCGGUGCCCCACUUCCAGCUACCGCGACACCCGCAGCUUGUCUGGCGCCCCGCUUCCAGCUACCGCAACACCUGCAGCUUGUCCAGCGCCCUGCUUCCAGCGACCGCGACAACCACAGCUUGUCUGGUGCCCCGAUUCCAGCUACCGUGACACCCGCAGCUUGUCCGGCACCCCGCUUCCAGCUACCGUGACACCUGCAGCUUGGCCGGCGCCCCACUUCCAGCUACCGUGACACCUGCAAUGUGUCCGGUGCCCUGCUUCCAGCUACGGUGACAGGUCUAGCGUGUCUGGCGCCUCAUCUGCCAGCUACCAUGACAGUUCUAGCCUGUCCGGUGCCCCGUCUGCCAGCUACUGUAACACCUACUGUGUGUCCAGCACCAAACGUCUGCCACCGCUGCCUCGGCUCCGUCUUACUCCAAGGUUCCUUUGCUGUCCGAUGUUACUCCAAGGUCCGUGUUCAAUCUUACUCCAAGGUCCAUGUUUGAUCUUCCUUCGAGGUUCCUUUGCUAUUCGGGCGCCAAUUAUUGUCAAACAACAAGUCCGAGAGCCCCUGGAGAGCAAUAAUCAGCCAAGGUGCUGCAAGGGACGAGGCCACACACCCAUAUAGUUUCUAUUAGCCAAGCCAUUUAAUAACUGCACACAGCCGUUUAUAUAGAGCGGUACAAAUAGCAUGCUAAAUACAACAAGGCAUGGUUCUCAUAAUUUGCAGUUGCUUGCAGCUUGUCUCACGGCACCUGGCACAGCGGUCUCUAUCGCAGCUCCGCAUUCCUUUCACCUACUCCCAUCGUUGUUCUGUGUGAGACAGUGAUCCAUAGCAGCUGUUUUGCUUGCACUGACCCAGGGGGAGAUAAACAUGACCUCCCUGGGUCAGCUGUCAAUCCACACAGACACACUCAUUUUAUUUGAUUUAUUAACUUCAAUUCUAAUUAUUUUGUAUUAUAGUGAGUUAUCCUGCAUUCCGAUAUUUUAUUUAGUAAAUUAGUUUGCUUCUCCUCA